rnacentral:rRNA from 1 species
AGCAGCCGCGGUAAUUCCAGCUCCAAUAGCGUAUAUUAAAGUUGCUGCAGUUAAAAAGCUCGUAGUUGAAUUUCGGGACCAUCAUGUCGGUCGUGCCUCGGUACGUACUGGUAUUGUUGGUUUCUCCCUUCUGACGAACCAUGAUGUCAUUUAUUUGGUGUUGUGGGGAAUCAGGACUGUUACUUUGAAAAAAUUAGAGUGUUUAAAGCAGGCUCACGCUUGAAUACAUUAGCAUGGAAUAAUGAAAUAGGACGUUUGAUUCUAUUUUGUUGGUUUCUAGGAUCGACGUAAUGAUUAAUAGGGAUAGUUGGGGGCAUUAGUAUUCAAUUGUCAGAGGUGAAAUUCUUGGAUUUAUUGAAGACUAACUACUGCGAAAGCAUUUGCCAAGGAUGUUUUCAUUAAUCAAGAACGAAAGUUAGGGGAUCGAAGACGAUCAGAUACCGUCGUAGUCUUAACCAUAAACUAUGCCGACUAGGGAUCGGAUGAUGUUAAUUUUUUAAUGACUCAUUCGGCGACCCCG